UACCUGCAGCUCAAGUGGUGACCGCUAUUAUUGGGCCUAAAACGUUCGUAGCCGGCUGAGUAAAUGCUUGGGUAAAUCGUGUCGCUUAACGGUACGAAUUCCGGGUAGACUGCUCAGCUUGAGACCGGGAGAAGCUAGAGGUACUCCUGGGGUAGAGGUGAAAUCCUGUAAUCCUGGGGGGACCACCAGUGGCGAAGGCGUCUAGCUAGAACGGGUCUGACGGUGAGGAACGAAACCCUGGGGCGCAAACCGGAUUAGAUACCCGGGUAGUCCAGGGCGCAAACACUGCUUGCUUGAUGUUAGCUGGGCUCCGGGCUCAGCUAGUGUCGGAGAGAAGUUGUUAAGCAAGCUGCCUGGGAAGUACGAUCGCAAGAUUGAAACUUAAAGGAAUUGGCGGGGGAGCACAGCAACGGGUGGAGCGUGCGGUUU
rnacentral:rRNA from 1 species